AACGAACGCUGGCGGCAGGCUUAACACAUGCAAGUCGAACGGGAUCUUCGGAUCUAGUGGCGGACGGGUGAGUAACGCGUGGGAACGUGCCCUUUGGUUCGGAAUAGCCCUGGGAAACUGGGAGUAAUACCGGAUGUGGUCGAGAGACGAAAGAUUUAUCGCCAAAGGAUCAGCCCGCGUUGGAUUAGGUAGUUGGUGGGGUAAUGGCCUGCCAAGCCGACGAUCCAUAGCUGGUUUGAGAGGAUGAUCAGCCACACUGGGACUGAGAACACGGCCCAGACUCCUACGGGAGGCAGCAGUGGGGAAUCUUAGACAAUGGGGGAAACCCUGAUCUAGCCAUGCCGCGUGAGCGAUGAAGGCCUUAGGGUUGUAAAGCUCUUUCGUGGGGGAAGAUAAUGACUGUACCCCAAGAAGAAGCCCCGGCUAACUCCGUGCCAGCAGCCGCCGUAAAAC
rnacentral:rRNA from 1 species